rnacentral:rRNA from 1 species
CAGGCCGCCUUCGGGCGUCGGCUCCGGCUGAUAGUCCCUGCCAGAGGACCCAAACUCUAUGUUUAGUGAUGUCUGAGUACUAUAUAAUAUUUAAAACUUUCAACAACGGAUCUCUUGGUUCUGGCAUCGAUGAAGAACGCAGCGAAAUGCGAUAAGUAAUGUGAAUUGCAGAAUUCAGUGAAUCAUCGAAUCUUUGAACGCACAUUGCGCCCCUUGGUAUUCCGAGGGGCAUGCCUGUUCGAGCGUCAUUAUAACCACUCAAGCCUGGCUUGGUAUUGGGGUUUUCGCGUGUUCGCGGCCCUUAAAAUCAGUGGCGGUGCCGUCUGGCUCUAAGCGUAGUAAUUUCUCUCGCUAUAGGGUUCUGGUGGUUACUUGCCAAAACCCCCCAUUUUUUCUAGGUUGACCUCGGAUCAGGUAGGGAUACCCGCUGAACUUAA